GAUGAACGCUGGCGGCGUGCCUAAUACAUGCAAGUCGAGCGAAUGGAUUAAGAGCUUGCUCUUAUGAAGUUAGCGGCGGACGGGUGAGUAACACGUGGGUAACCUGCCCAUAAGACUGGGAAUAACUCCGGGAAACCGGGGCUAAUACCGGAUAACAUUUUGAAACGCAUGGUUCGAAAGUGAAAGGCGGCUUCGGCUGUCACUUAUGGAUGGACCCGGCUCGCAGUAGCAAGUUGGUGAGGUAACGGCUGACCAAGGCAACGGUGCGUAGCCAACCUGAGAGGGUGAUCUGCCACACUGGGACUGAGACACGGCCCAGACUCCUACGGGAGGCAGCAGUAGGGAAUCUUCCGCAAUGGACGAAAGUCUGACGGAGCAACGCCGCGUGAGUGAUGAAGGCUUUCGGGUCGUAAAACUCUGUUGUUAGGGAAGAACAAGUGCUAGUUGAAUAAGCUGGCACCUUGACGGUACCUAACCAGAAAGCCACGGCUAACUACGUGCCAGCAGCCGCGGUAA
rnacentral:rRNA from 1 species